rnacentral:rRNA from 1 species
UGGGGAAUAUUGCACAAUGGGGGAAACCCUGAUGCAGCGACGCCGCGUGAGCGAUGAAGUAUUUCGGUAUGUAAAGCUCUAUCAGCAGGGAAGAAGAUGACGGUACCUGACUAAGAAGCCCCGGCUAACUACGUGCCAGCAGCCGCGGUAAUACGUAGGGGGCAAGCGUUAUCCGGAUUUACUGGGUGUAAAGGGAGCGUAGACGGCGAUGCAAGCCAGAUGUGAAAGCCCGGGGCUCAACCCCGGGACUGCAUUUGGAACUGUGUGGCUGGAGUGUCGGAGAGGCAGGCGGAAUUCCUAGUGUAGCGGUGAAAUGCGUAGAUAUUAGGAGGAACACCAGUGGCGAAGGCGGCCUGCUGGACGAUGACUGACGUUGAGGCUCGAAAGCGUGGGGAGCAAACAGG